CCUACGGGUCGCAGCAGUGGGGAAUAUUGCACAAUGGGCGCAAGCCUGAUGCAGCCAUGCCGCGUGUGUGAAGAAGCCCUUCGGGUUGUAAAGCACUUUCAGCGGGGAGGUAGGCGGUGAGGUUAAUAACCUCAUCGAUUGACGUUACCCGCAGAAGAAGCACCGGCUAACUCCGUGCCAGCAGCCGCGGUAAUACGGAGGGUACAAGCGUUAAUCGGAAUUACUGGGCGUAAAGCGCACGCCGGCGGUCUGUCAAGUCGGAUGUGAAAUCCCCGGGCUCAACCUGGGAACUGCAUUCGAAACUGGCAGGCUAGAGUCUUGUAGAGGGGGGUAGAAUUCCAGGUGUAGCGGUGAAAUGCGUAGAGAUCUGGAGGAAUACCGGUGGCGAAGGCGGCCCCCUGGACAAAGACUGACGCUCAGGUGCGAAAGUGUGGGGAGCAAACAGGAUUGGAUACCCCGGUAGUC
rnacentral:rRNA from 1 species